ensembl:lncRNA
ACUGUUUAAGUGAGGCAAGCACAGGGCCGGCCUGCACGGCGGCGAGGGUCGGUGGGGACGGCGAGAGCCUGAAAGGUUUCGUCAGCGAACAAAUUGCUUCUCUGUAGGGGCCGUUUUCUUCCCAAGUUGAACAUAAUGAUGGCAGUUUGGUGAACAGAUGGCGCGGCUGAGCGGAUAAUCCCGGAGCGAGAGGCAGUGCUGGCUCUGCCCCGGCACUGGGGUGCAGAUGGGCGCUGUGAUGGUGGCACCCGGUGGGACGCAGGCUCGGCUCCGUGCCUUAAUGCUUUGCAAACCCUGAGCACGGUGGCAGGGCCCAAAGCCCCUCGUGCCUCAGUUUCCCGUCCCCGUGACCCCUCACAACCCAUCCGUAGAGCACAGGGGACAGCCCAGAAAAGCCCAUUUAUCAUUCGCCAUUUAGCUCCCAUUUGCACCCCUACUCCCAGCUCUGUCCCCUGGGAGCCCUGGCUCUGCCAGCACCUUGCCCUCCACGUUGGCAGCUCAGCUGCUGAGGGCCCUGCCUCCAUCACCUCCUCUUUCUUUUUUCCUGAGCUCAAUCAGCUGCUCGGAGGGUGUUGCUCAAGGAAAAGCAAUAACCACAGCUCUGCUACAGCUGGGGAAACUAAGGCACACAAAGAGGUGCCCGCAAGUGCACUGGAAUUAGCGGCAGGACAAAGCCCAGGCUUGCGGUGUUGUUGGUGUAUGUGUCCUUACACAUCCAUGGCCCCUACUGCCUCCCCCCUCAGGAGCAGCUGAUGCUGUGUUCUGCUUGAUAGAAAGCCGGCUAAUCAUCUUUCCCACCUUCGUUAGAGUGUGAAUUGUUAUCUGAGCGACACCUGUAAAGCUCCUUGUCAGACAGGGCUGGUGCACACGUCUGAUAAUGGGCACCAGAUGGGAGCGGGGAGGCUCGGAGAGGCACAGGGGCCCAGGCAUCCCUGCUCCAAACAAAGAGCGGUGCCUGACAGCUCUGAUGGCCACGUGGCAUCACUGUGCCAUAGGAACACCCAGCAGCACCCGUGCUCCAUGUCUGCCAUUCCCCAGGUGUGAGUGCCACCAAGGCACUGUGCCUCAGAGCAUCCUGGCACUGCCCGUGGGUGCAAAUCAUAGAAUCAGAAUGGUGUGGGUUGGAAAGGACCUUAAAUGUAGCUUAAAUCCAAACCCCAAAUCCUUCCAGACCCAUGGACCAGACAUGGGGUGGUUGAGGUCAUGCAUUGAACGUGAUCCUGAGUCCUCCACAUCCCCUCCCUGACCCCAAACUCCUGGGGCAGAACACAGCCUUGCUGCCAAGCUGCCCCCCUACAGAAGCAUCCUCAACUUUGACCCUUGCAAUCACAAAGCUCCGUUUGCAGGACGCUAAUCAUUGCUAGCAGCAUAAUGAGCCUCUCUGGGCACUGGCCCUGGGGGCACAGCAAUUAAAAUCGUUGGCACCCAGAGCAUGGGUGGCUGCAGUGCCCGCUCCAGGGUGCCUGGGCAGUACAGGCAAACAAUCAGCUUGUUCUUUGCCAGCUCGAAUGAAGAAUAAAAUCAAAUCAAGGGGGAACUGAGGCCCCAGCAAAACUGGGAGUCAAGUUUAUUUACAAACUGGAUGUAAAGUGAAGGGCUGGGAACAAAGGUGUUAUGUAAGGGACAGUCACUAAGGGGCUCUUUACCCACACUAAUUGCCACUCGCGCUGCAAUACAUCUUUAUCUUGCAGCUGAAUCUGCUCACAGGUUCAAGCAUUGCUCCUUUCACCAUGCUGCCUGGCAAAAUUAGCAGCCAUCAUCCCAUGGUCCAAACCCACGGGGAGCCUUGUGGUGCACCACAGAGCAGGAGGGUGCUGGGGUAGCUGUGUCCGUGGGCAACAGCUGGCAUGGGAAGAUGCUGAUGGGGGGAAAUGGGACCUGGAGCAAAAUACCUUUGAGUCCCCGUGGGCAGCAAGGAGCAGCAAACCAUCAUGGGAUUGUCAUGGGAAUAGCAGGGAACGAAUAUGAAAGGAGAACCAGAGAGGACAAAUGAUGCUGCUGCUUAUGAUGAUGCUUUCAAGGGUGCCAGCUGGAUAUUGCCAAGUGGGUUUGGUCAAAUGCAAGAGUCCCAAGGGCAGAGAGCAGUGCAAAGAAGCAGGGUCAUUGCAGCACCCAGCAGUGCUGCUUUCUGCUCCCUGCUCCUGACGCAUGCAGGGCACAUCCAGGGCAUGAGGACCACGGAGGGCACUGUCAGAUCCACUCUGACUGAGCUUCAAGGAUAGGGAGGAAGAGGAGGAGGCAGCAUCACCGGGAGCCGAGAGGUCAAUUUUAUUGACAAACGGGCUCUUGAAUGGAGCGUGGGGAACAAUGCCGGCACUCAGCCUGGGUCAAUCUGGGCUGUGUAAAGAGAGGGGCCGGCAGGAGCAGCCCCAGGGAAGCCCUCCAGGCGAGUGGCCUCUGCCUCUGUGUUUGCAUAACCCCUGACCCCUCCUUUGGGGGUUUAAUUGAAAUCCCAGCUUGGUGACAAAUUGGCAUGACCAGUGGACCGGGGAUGGAAGCGAUGCUGGGAGCCCUCUCCCUGCUCCAGCAGAGUCCAAUGCAUCCCAACAGGCACGGACCCCCUGCAGAAUGGCUCACCCUGCUCCCAUGCGCAAUGGUUUAACAACAACACAUUGCUUUCCCCCAUGUCGCUGCCCCAGUGCACUCAGACAACAUCCUCACCCCACAGCCAACACGUGAGGAUCAUUUGGGAUGCAUUCUCCUUGGGCUGGGUUGCUCUGCUGCUUCCCCAGGCUGUUUGCAUCCCAGCUGUGCAGGGAUUGCUUUCCUUGCAGUGAAGGAAGAGAAUAGCCACAGCCCUUUGCUGGUCUUGCAUGCAAGCAGAAGCUGCUUGUAAGAGCUAAACAGCAAGCAUAAAUGGAGCCCCAAAGCAGUUCCUGCAGCCUGGGAGUUGGACAACUGCACUGAGCCAAAUGGGAAUGGAGUCAGCCCAUAUCAGGAGCUGCUGGGAAAGAGGUUAAAUCUGCACCCACGUCACCACGGCUCCUGCUGGCAGCUUUGCUGGGUCUGGUGGAGCGUCCCAUGCCCAUCCUCGGACCAUCAGCCUCAUUCCUCCAGCACCAGCAGGACUUGCUCCCACUCGCACCCACUGGCUGACCUCUGUCUCAGCAUCUUGCACCAAACUGCCUUAAAAACAGAGCGACUCCACUUCGAGGCUGAACCCUCAAAUAUCCCAAAAAUUCGAUCCUUGCUUUUACCAUCUGUACCUCGUCCAGAAAUCACUCGCAGGGAUUUUUACAGAUCCUAAAAUACUUUGAGCUGCAGAUUUCACGUCUGUUAUCCGCCGCCGAUGAACACAUUUCACCGCUGUUAUUGUAGUUAUUAUUAAACACGCACCAGACAGGGCUCCUUCACAAGGCUCUGCAGCCAUUGGGGACACUGAGACCCAUCAGAGCAGCUCUUUGCAGUCAGAUCUCAAACCCAUUUGCAACAGGCCUGGAUUGUGUGGCAGAGGGAGAGGUGUGUGGCUAUGGGGGUGCUGCUCUCAUGAAGCGGCAGUGCUGGUGGGGAUGGGACUUUGGGAUGCAUCCCUGCAUCCCCGUGCAGUUUGCUGCAUUUCAAGGGAGAGAAGCUGGAGUUUUGUGUGACUCCACCUCUACCUCCACCUGUGCCUGUGCAUGGGCCUGGGAUGAUGCUUUCAC